rnacentral:lncRNA from 1 species
AAAAACUUCUUCUAAUGGAAUCCAGCUUGAAAGCUACUCAAGAGCAGCUAACUGAGCAAAUAGCAGAAACAGUUCGCCAAGAACAGAACAGUAGAAAAGCCCAGGCAGAGCUGAAGACAGUGACGGAAGGGAUUAUAGCUUCUGAAGAAGAAAAAAAUGAUUACAAGUGGCCUGAAUUGAUCAAAUAUGCCAAUUGAUUCGGUAUUGGACAGUGCCAGACACCAUGAUGUUCACCAGGCAGAAGAAAGAAAAGCCACAUCAGGUGUCACAAGGCAUGAAAGCAUUAUAGUUAGUUUCUUUAACCAAUUAUCCCUUUAUUUGGAACAGCGUUUGGAUUUUGACUGAGUGGUGCUAGGUGAAAUGCAUGGAGCAUAGCCUGAAGGUCAAAGACUUGAGUAAUUUCUAGAGUUUGCCAUCACAGUAGACUUCGAUGCAGGGGGCAGAGGAUCUCACCAGAACAAUAUAUUCUGGAACCUUUUCCCAAAGAGGAGAAACUCACUGCUGAAAUCAUGAUUUUAUUUAUUUUACAAAAAUUGAAAAAAAUGGAAAACCUAAAACAUGAUUUUCAAAAUGUGUUGAAAUAAGUCAUAAAAACAAUAACUUGAAUGUAGAUCUUAAGGGACCUGCUGCAAUUUGAAAUAGACAUCAGUGUCCUACACUUAUCUUUCUAAUAGUGAUAAUGUCUUCAAGUGACUUCUUGAUAAGUAAUUAUCUCAAAAUGAUUUCCUUCGUUCACUUACUUUGGAACAAUCAUCAGAACUAGCCAGGUUCCUAUACCCCCAAAAUCUCUUAUUAGGUUAAAUCUUUUCUUAACUAAAUAUGAAACGGUUAAAAAGAAGCAUGCAAAGAAUUUGGCAAUCAAAAGGAAGAUUGUUUUAACAUUAACAUGUAACCUGUAAGUUAUUGGUUCCAUAAAGCUGAACUUUUAAAGAACACAUAGGAUUUAGAUUUUAUUUUUCCCCUCCUUUUGAACUGAAUGUAGAGAACACACACCAUAUACUCAGUAUAAGCCUGUUACACUUGAAAGAUUUGUUCUGAAAGUCCAGGGGGAACCUGGAAAUCGUAAUAAUUUGUAGUAUCGAUUCAGUGAAGCUAUGCAGCUGGGGCCUCCGGUGAAUAGACAGCAAUAGACAUUUUAUUGAUUAACUUUUACAGUCAUAUUUUCAAGACUCCGCUGCAACAUAAUUUUCACUUCCC